rnacentral:rRNA from 1 species
CUGGCGGCGUGCUUCAGACAUGCAAGUCGAGCGGGCGGAGGCCAAACCGCAAGGGGAGGCUGAAGCUAGCGGCGAACGGGUGAGUAACACGUGGGUAAUCUGCCCAAAAGACUGGGAUAACGGUUCGAAAGGACCGCUAAUACCGGAUAAUGUCGUUAAGUCGCAUGACAUAACGAAGAAAGGCGAAAGCCACUUUCGGAUGAGCUCGCGACCCAUCAGCUAGUUGGUGAGGUAAAGGCCCCACCAAGGCGACGACGGGUAACCGGUCUGAGAGGAUGAUCGGUCACACUGGGACUGAGAUACGGCCCAGACUCCUACGGGAGGCAGCAGUCGGGAAUAUUGGGCAAUGGGCGAAAGCCCUGACCCAGCGACGCCGCGUGAGGGAUGAAGGCCUUCGGGUCGUAAACCUCUGUCAUCGGGGACGAAGAAAGUGACGGUACCCGAGGAGGAAGCCCCUGCUAACUACGUGCCAGCCGCCGC